CAGGCUGCAACCCGCCUGCGUGAAGUUGGAAUCGCUAGUAAUCGCGGAUCAGCAUGCCGCGGUGAAUACGUUCCCGGGCCUUGUACACACCGCCCGUCACACCAUGAGAGUCGGGAACACCCGAAGUCCGUAGCCUAACCGCAAGGGGGGCGCGGCCGAAGGUGGGUUCGAUAAUUGGGGUGAAGUCGUAACAAGGUACC
rnacentral:rRNA from 1 species